UUCUCCCACCUUCCCCCCGCAUGACGGCGGCCCCUUCUUUCUUCCCUUUCAUCUUCUUUCACCUCCCUCCCACGGCGCGGCGGCCCCAGUAUCACACAAGUCCAGAUCUAGCAAGUCUGAUCUUUGUCCCCCGGUAUCGCAAGUUCCUCUCCUGCAAGAAGAUUGUUGUAUGUAUGGAUCUCACAAGUUCAGAUCCGAUCCUUCUCCCUCUCUCGCAGAGGGGGUAGAGUUUGGGAGUGAAGUGAAGAAGCUGAAGUCAUGGUGAUGAAGAUUGAGUUUCUUCAUCCAAGAAUUAAAAGCACUGUAGAGAAAACUUUGCAGAAGACAUGAUAUAAUGGGAGACAUAUGGGUGAAGCCUGAUUCUUUCCCCUUUUGUUGUUGUUGUUGUUUAGUGAUGAACUGAUAAUGGAAUUGAUGUUGCGAAA